ensembl:lncRNA
GUCCUUUCUUGUUUGAGAUCUCAAUUUGCAAAGCAACCAGAGGAGUAACACUAAUCCACAGCAGAGGAUCACUCCAAAAAGUCCCACUCCCACCCAUUCCUUGAAAUAAGAGACUGCUGAGGUGAUCCAGGACGACAAUCUCUCCAUCAAAGACAGGUCCAGUCGGGUAGAAUUUACUUGAAUGAUGGUCGCUCUCAGCUCCUGAAGUGUCUGUUCAAACUCCGAGGUCCAAUUCUGUAACAGAUGCUGUGAAAGACUCUUAGACAGAUUAGCAGCUCAGGACCACCUUAUAGGAAUGGUACCAUUCACAGUGAAGUGGGUUCUUCCACAUCAGCCAUUAAUCAAGAGAAAUUCAUCAUCAUGCCAGAAGAACAGGAUGGGAAAUGCAAGUGGAAAGGG